CCAGAGAUGCCUCUCUGUUUGGCAGGGCCUCCACAUAUGUCCUGUGAAUAAUAAAGAUGUGGUUGUCACUGGCGGUGGAAGCAAAGGUGGCAUGUCCUUGUGAAUGUGACCACAUUAGAUUUAAGAUAGAAGAAAGUCCUUUACAAGGAAAAUAGAAAAAAUGGUGUAUCAAUUUAUGUGCUACAGACAUGGUUGUGCUUCAUUACUGUAGCAUAGGAUUAAAAACAUAAAUCUUGACCGCUCUUCAGAGAGCUAGGGUUGAGCUACGUAACAUGUUUUCCUUAGUGGUGGCUUUUGGCAUUUUGGUCAUUUCAACAAUAUUCGUUGGCCAACCUUCAACAAGUCACCACUUAACUAACUUUAUUUAUUUAUUUUUUUUUUUAGGAGCACAUAAAGAUGAAGGGAAUACUUCUUUUCCAAAACAGAUAUGCAGGAGAUUAACUUUAGAGUUGUUCUAUAUCAUCCUAAAUUUUCCACUGCUUCUGUCCUGCAGUGAAGUCACAAUACAUCUGUGACAGAAUAACUCCCAUGGCAACAGGCUGACAUCAUAAACAUCAGAUUAAGAGUUGGCUGCAAAGCCAAAGGAGAUGAUGGGCUGGGAAGGAAGAGGCUAUAAUUCAAACAAAUCUCUUCCAUAAUAGCUAUGGGAAUACUAAACAUUACUGGCCAAGUAAAUUGCUUUCUGUAUAAGUGUUCUCUUUUUUUGAAGUUUGCCCCAGUGUGAAAGUCUCUCUAAGAUUGGUAACUAAUGGGUAAUACACAACAUUCCAAGAUAGAUUCUGGUAUCUUGAGCCAACAUAUCAGGAGAACGGCACAGAGAAACUGAACAUUACCAGCCCCUCUACCUUAGCUAACUGUAAAAUGAACAACUUCCAAGGAGCUGCUGCUGAUCUCCCACAAAAUGAAAAGUCUAUGUAUCAAGAUGUAGAAUAGUACAGCUAAGCACAAGGCUCCUCCCCAAUCAAACAGAAGCAGAAUGAAGAUCAUUAUCAAUAAAAGCACUGGCCUAGAGUUCUAUCAAUAAAUUGAUAUGUAACCCAAGGCAGGUCUUCUUUCUUUGAGCUUCAGUUUCAUCAACUUUGAAGUGAGAAUAACAGAGCAUAAAAGUCAAACUUGAACCAA